UACGGGGGGGGCAAGCGUUGUUCGGAAUUACUGGGCGUAAAGGGCUCGUAGGUGGCCAACUAAGUCGGACGUGAAAUCCCUCGGCUUAACCGGGGAACUGCGUCCGAUACUGGUUGGCUUGAGUUUGGGAGAGGGAUGCGGAAUUCCAGGUGUAGCGGUGAAAUGCGUAGAUAUUGGGAAGAACACCGGUGGCGAAGGCGGCGCUCUGGACCGAGACUGACGCUGAGGCGCGAAAGCGUGGGGAGCAAACAGG
rnacentral:rRNA from 1 species